AGAAGAGGACAGUGGAACUCCAUGUGUAGCGGUGAAAUGCGUAGAUAUAUGGAAGAACACCAGUGGCGAAGGCGGCUGUCUGGUCUGCAACUGACGCUGAGGCUCGAAAGCAUGGGUAGCGAACAGGAUUAGAUACCCUGGUAGUCCAUGCCGUAAACGAUGAUUACUAAGUGUUGGAGGGUUUCCGCCCUUCAGUGCUGCAGCUAACGCAUUAAGUAAUCCGCCUGGGGAGUACGACCGCAAGGUUGAAACUCAAAAGAAUUGACGGGGGCCCGCACAAGCGGUGGAGCAUGUGGUUUAAUUCGAAGCUACGCGAAGAACCUUACCAGGUCUUGACAUCUUCUGACAGUCUAAGAGAUUAGAGGUUCCCUUCGGGGACAGAAUGACAGGUGGUGCAUGGUUGUCGUCAGCUCGUGUCGUGAGAUGUUGGGUUAAGUCCCGCAACGAGCGCAACCCUUAUUACUAGUUGCCAGCAUUAAGUUGGGCACUCUAGUGAGACUGCCGGUGACAAACCGGAGGAAGGUGGGGACGACGUCAAAUCAUCAUGCCCCUUAUGACCUGGGCUACACACGUGCUACAAUGGAUGGUACAACGAGUCGCGAGACCGCGAGGUUAAGCUAAUCUCUUAAAACCAUUCUCAGUUCGGACUGUAGGCUGCAACUCGCCUACACGAAGUCGGAAUCGCUAGUAAUCGCGGAUCAGCAUGCCGCGGUGAAUACGUUCCCGG
rnacentral:rRNA from 1 species